UACGGAGGGUGCGAGCGUUGUUCGGAAUUACUGGGCGUAAAGCGCGUGUAGGCGGCCUUGUAAGUCUGGUGUGAAAGCCCGGGGCUCACCCCCGGAAGUGCAUUGGAUACUGCAAGGCUCGAGUACCGGAGAGGAGGGUGGAAUUCCUGGUGUAGCGGUGAAAUGCGUAGAUAUCAGGAGGAACACCGGUGGCGAAGGCGGCCCUCUGGACGGAUACUGACGCUGAGACGCGAAAGCGUGGGGAGCAAAC
rnacentral:rRNA from 1 species